rnacentral:rRNA from 1 species
GACGAACGCUGGCGGCGUGCUUAACACAUGCAAGUCGAACGGGCCUUGUCCCCUUUUUUUUGGGGUGGGGUUAGUGGCGAACGGGUGAGUAACACGUGAGUAACCUGCCCCUCACUUCUGGAUAACCGCUUGAAAGGGUGGCUAAUACGGGGUGUUCUGGCCUGCUCGCAUGGGUGGGUUUGGAAAGAUUCGACCGGUUUUGGUUGUUUUGGUGGGGGAUGGGCUCGCGGCCUAUCAGCUUGUUGGUGGGGUGAUGGCCUGCCAAGGCUUUGACGGGUAGCCGGCCUGAGAGGGUGGGCGGUCACACUGGGACUGAGACACGGCCCAGACUCCUACGGGAGGCAGCAGUGGGGAAUAUUGCACAAUGGGCGCAAGCCUGAUGCAGCGACGCCGCGUGAGGGAUGGAGGCCUUCGGGUUGUGAACCUCUUUCGCCAGUGAAGAAGGUCCUGCUCUUUGUGGUGGGGUUGACGGUAGCUGGGUUAAUGAAGCGCCGGCUAACUACGUG